UGAAAUAGACAUUCUGGACAUUCAUAACGCUCAGAACCAACUUUAAUAACUCUUCCAUCAGGAAGGGUGUAAUUACGCAUUAAAACGGUAGUUUCUUCGCUAAGCUUAUGGUCCAAUUCCAAAUCAUAACUAACGUAACAAAGUUUUUCUUUCAUCUCGCGAACAGUUUCAAAGUCUGCUGUACGAUUGAAAGCAUAACCCUUACGAAGAAGUAAGCUAAUCAAAUAGCGGGUAGCAUCCCUACCGGCAACGUCAAGGCGACCAACUAAAUGAUUUAAAACAACACUUUCAUAGACAGGCACAAUAUGGGUUACACCGUCACCAGAAUCAACAACUACACCACUGCUUAAUCCCUGUGCGUAUAAAGAGAGAACGGCCUGAAUGGCGACAUAAACACCACCAAAACCAUACCGUUCAAACAUUGUCUCACACAUUUUUUCGCGGUUAGCAACAGGAUUCAUAGGGGGCUCGGUCAACAAAAUUUUCCUACCCCUCGGAUCAAUUUUUAGUUUUUCAAAGAAAGUGUAAUCCCAAAGUUGAUUCAUCUCUUCAAAAUCACGGAUAAUGCCAUUUUCCAUGGGAUAUUUUACUUGAAGUAAAGAUCUCACCGCCUCAGCUUCAUCACCGACCAUAACAUCUUUAAUUUGAACAUUUCCUGUUUUCUCUUCAGCACGUAAAAUGGGCCUUCCUACGAUGGAUGGGAAUUGAAAGCGCGGAAAAUUGUCUUUAGCAUAUCCGACCUUGCUAACGUUAGUCACAGUGUAAA